rnacentral:misc_RNA from 1 species
GAUGAAGAACGUAGCGAAAUGCGAUAAGUAAUGUGAAUUGCAGAAUUCAGUGAAUCAUCGAAUCUUUGAACGCACCUUGCACCCUUUGGUAUUCUGAAGGGUAUGCUCGUUUGAGUGUCAUUGUACUCUCACACUCCCGAUCUUGAGUUGGGAGCGGUGGACUUGGGUUUGCUGCUUAACUGUAGCUCACCUCAAAUGUGUUAGUGCAGCUCUUGGUUGGACAUAGUACGGCGUGAUAAGUAUCUUCGCCGGUGCCUCGCAAAGAGGGUGGCCGAUCGGGAUGUUGUGCUCCAAACUGUCUUCGGACAAUCUCUGACAACUUGACCUCAAAUCGAGUAAGACUACCCGCUGAACUUAAGCAUAUCAAUAAGCGGAGGA